rnacentral:rRNA from 1 species
CAGCUAGUUGGUGAGGUAACGGCCCACCAAGGCGACGAUCAGUAUCCGGCCUGAGAGGGCGGACGGACACACUGGGACUGAGACACGGCCCAGACUCCUACGGGAGGCAGCAGUGGGGAAUUGUUCGCAAUGGGCGCAAGCCUGACGACGCAACGCCGCGUGGAGGAUGAAGAUCUUCGGGUCGUAAACUCCUUUCGAUCGAGACGAAUGGCUUCCGGGUGAACAAUCCGGAAGAGUGACGGUACCGAGAGAAGAAGCCCCGGCUAACUCCGUGCCAGCAGCCGCGGUAAUACGGGGGGGGCAAGCGUUGUUCGGAAUUACUGGGCGUAAAGAGCUCGUAGGCGGUUUGUCGCGUCUGCUGUGAAAACUCGGGGCUUAACUCCGGGCCUGCAGUGGGUACGGGCAGACUAGAGUGCGGUAGGGGAGACUGGAAUUCCUGGUGUAGCGGUGAAAUGCGCAGAUAUCAGGAGGAACACCGGUGGCGAAGGCGGGUCUCUGGGCCGUAACUGACGCUGAGGAGCGAAAGCGUGGGGAGCGAACAGGAUUAGAUACCCUGGUAGUCCAC